CCUACCGAUUGAAUGGUCCGGUGAAAUCCUCGGAGCCGUGGCCUCUACGCAAUCUGGGCAACCGGGUUGUGAGGUCAACGGUGGUACGCAAGUAUCACCUAUUUGGCGGCGAAGUCGAUUGAACCUUACCAUUUAGAGGAAGGAGAAGUCGUAACAAGGUC
rnacentral:rRNA from 1 species